GACGAACGCUGGCGGCGUGCUUAACACAUGCAAGUCGAACGGGAAGGCCCUGCUUUUGUGGGGUGCUCGAGUGGCGAACGGGUGAGUAACACGUGAGUAACCUGCCCUUGACUUUGGGAUAACUUCAGGGAACUGGGGCUAAUACCGGAUAGGAGCUCCUGCUGCAUGGUGGGGGUUGGAAAGUUUCGGCGGUUGGGGAUGGACUCGCGGCUUAUCAGCUUGUUGGUGGGGUAGUGGCUUACCAAGGCUUUGACGGGUAGCCGGCCUGAGAGGGUGACCGGCCACAUUGGGACUGAGAUACGGCCCAGACUCCUACGGGAGGCAGCAGUGGGGAAUAUUGCACAAUGGGCGGAAGCAUGAUGCAGCACCGCAGCGUGCGGGAUGACGGCCUUCGGGUUGUAAACCGCUUUCGCCUGUGACGAAGCGUGAGUGACGGUAAUGGGUAAAGAAGCACCGGCUAACUACGUG
rnacentral:rRNA from 1 species